rnacentral:misc_RNA from 1 species
CGCACCUUGCACUCCUUGGUAUUCCGAGGAGUAUGCCUGUUUGAGUGUCAUGAAAACCUCAAUCUAGUGUUUGGUUAUGCCAGACACAAAGGUUGGAUGUGGGUGUUUGUCAGUGAUGAACUGACUCGCCUUAAAACAAUGAGCUAGAUAAGUCAUUUGACUGGUUUCCCUAGGCGUGAUAAGUAUUUCGCUUAGGACAUGGGUUGACUUCGGUCUUCACAUGGCCAGGACUUUUGACAUAGAUCUGCUUUCUAUCCCUAUGGCUGCAAAGCUAUAAUCUUGACAUCUGGCCUCAAAUCAGGUAGGACUACCCGCUGAACUUAA